GACGAACGCUGGCGGCGUGCUUAACACAUGCAAGUCGAACGGAAAGGCCCUGCUUUUGUGGGGUGCUCGAGUGGCGAACGGGUGAGUAACACGUGAGUAACCUGCCCUUGACUUUGGGAUAACUUCAGGAAACUGGGGCUAAUACCGGAUAGGAGCUCCUGCUGCAUGGUGGGGGUUGGAAAGUUUGGCGGUUGGGGAUGGACUCGCGGCUUAUCAGCUUGUUGGUGGGGUAGUGGCUUACCAAGGCUUUGACGGGUAGCCGGCCUGAGAGGGUGACCGGCCACAUUGGGACUGAGAUACGGCCCAGACUCCUACGGGAGGCAGCAGUGGGGAAUAUUGCACAAUGGGCGGAAGCCUGAUGCAGCAACGCCGCGUGCGGGAUGACGGCCUUCGGGUUGUAAACCGCUUUCGCCUGUGACGAAGCGUGAGUGACGGUAAUGGGUAAAGAAGCACCGGCUAACUACGUG
rnacentral:rRNA from 1 species